rnacentral:rRNA from 1 species
AAAUUGAAGAGUUUGAUCAUGGCUCAGAUUGAACGCUGGCGGCAGGCCUAACACAUGCAAGUCGAACGGUAACAGAAAGCAGCUUGCUGCUUUGCUGACGAGUGGCGGACGGGUGAGUAAUGUCUGGGAAACUGCCUGAUGGAGGGGGAUAACUACUGGAAACGGUAGCUAAUACCGCAUAACGUCGCAAGACCAAAGAGGGGGACCUUAGGGCCUC